AUUCCAUCCAAAGGUAGAAAAAUUGUUCUCUUAUGAUACAUCCAGUGAAGACUCUACAAGUCAUCAGACAUAUGAAGCAGAGGAGCACAGUCAUGUCUGCAAUUCGUAAAGAAGCCCCAAAAAGGGAAAAGCAUCUCUCCAAAAGAGGGAAGACUGAAUUGGAUGAUUCGAGUCCAGGCGGGGACCCUGGCGGUCCGAUCCUUGGCUGCAGAAGCUAGCUCUUGGGACAUGGAAUGUCACCUCUCUGGCAGGGAAGGAGCCCGAGCUGGUGUGUGAGGCAGAGAAUUUCCGACUGGAUAUAGUUGGACUUGCCUCCACACACAGCCUGGGUUCUGGUACCAGUUCUCUCGAGAGGGGUUGGACUCUCUUCCACUCUGGAGUUGCUCACGGUGAGAGGCGCAGAGCAGGUGUGGGCAUACUCAUUGCCCCCCGGCUCAGUGCCUGUACAUUGGGGUUCACACCGGUAGACGAGAGGGUUGCCUCCCUCCGCCUUCGGGUGGGUGGACGGGUCCUGACUGUUGUUUGUGCAUAUGCACCAAACAGCAGCUCAGCAUACCCACCCUUUUUGGAGUACUUGGAGGGUGUGCUGGAGAGUACUCCUGCUGGGGACUCCCUUGUUCUGCUGGGGGACUUCAAUGCUCACGUGGGCAAUGACAGUGAUACCUGGAGGGGCGUGAUUGGGAGGAACGGCCCCCCCGAUCAAAACCCGAGUGGUGUUUUGUUAUUGGACUUCUGUGCUCGUCACGGAUUGUCCAUAACGAACACCUUGUUCAAACAUAAGGGUGUCCAUAUGUGCACUUGGCACCAGGACACCCUAGGCCGCAGUUCGAUGAUCGACUUUGUAGUUGUAUCAUCGGAUUUGCGGCCGCAUGUUCUGGACACUCGGGUGAAGAGAGGGGCGGAGCUGUCAACUGAUCACCACCUGGUGGUGAGUAGGCACCGAUGGUGGGGGAAGAUGCCGGUCCGUCCUGGCAGACCCAAACGUAUAGUGAGGGUUUGUUGGGAGCGUCUGGCGGAAUCCCCUGUCAGAAGGAGUUUCAACUCCCACCUCCGACAGAGCUUUUCCCAUGUUCCGGGGGAGACGGGGGACAUUGAGUCCGAGUCCCAUGUUCCGUGCCUCUAUUGUUGAGGCGGCCAAUCUGAGUUGUGGCCGUAAGGUGGUUGGUGCCUGUCGUGGCGGCAAUCCCCGUACUCGCUGGUGGACACCAGCAGUAAGGGAUGCCGUCAAGCUGAAGAAGGAGUCCUAUCGAGCCUUUAUGGCCUGUGGGACCCCAGAGGCAGCUGACGGGUAUCGACUGGCCAAGCGGACCGCGGCUUCGGUGGUCGCCGAGGCAAAAACCCGAGCGUGGGAAGAGUUCGGUGAGACCAUGGAAGCGGACUUCCGGACGGCUUCGAGGAAAUUCUGGUCCACCAUCCGACGUCUCAGGAGGGGGAAGCAGUGCACCACUAACACUGUGUACAGUGGGGAUGGGGCGCUGCUGACUUCGACUCGGGACGUUGUGAACCGGUGGGCAGAGUACUUCGAAGACCUCAACUCCACCAACACGCCUUCCUUGGAGGAAGCAGAGCCUGGGGACUCUGAGGUGGGCUCUCCUAUCUCUGUGGUUGAAGUCACCGAUGUGGUUAAAAACUCCUCGGUGGCAAGGCCCCAGGGGUGGAUGAGAUCCGCCCGGAGUUCCUCAAGGCUCUGGAUGUUGUGGUGCUGUCCUGGUUGACACGCCUCUGCAACAUCGCAUGGUCAACAGGGAGAGUGCCUCUGGAUUGGCAGACCGGGGUGGUAGUCCCUCUUUUUAAAAAGGGGGACCGGAGGGUGUGUUCCAACUACAGAGGGAUCACACUCCUCAGCCUCCCUGGUAAGGUCUAUUCAGGGGUGCUGGAGAGGAGGGUCCGUCAGGAA